rnacentral:sRNA from 1 species
CUUUAAAGGGCUUGACCUAUUUUUUUGCUUCUUGAUUCAUUCUUGCCAUCCCCCAAUUUCUACCUUUUUUCAUACUAGACGACAGUGAAGGAGUCAGCCACAGAGGAGAAGCUGACCCCUGUGGUGCUAGCUAAACAGCUGGCAGCCCUGAAGCAGCAGCUGGUUGCUUCCCACCUGGAGAAGCUUCUGGGACCAGAUGCUGCAAUCAACCUUACCGACCCCGAUGGCGCCCUGGCUAAGUCGCAGAACUUGAAAAGCGCCUGACAGAGCUGGAGACAGCUGUACGUUGUGAUCAGGAUGCUCAGGUCAGGUGUUCUCCUGUACAUAAUCUGAGCCUUAGAUCCUGCAACUCUAGGCCUUAAGGUCUACAACAUUCCACAUAAGCCUGGGAGGAGUCAUCAAAGGGCUUCAGUUACAGGGAUCAGCUAGUGGGUUCCCAGCUAGAACCAGGAAAGAUGGGAGAUGAUAAUCAUGGAGAUAUAAGGACCACUCACUUCUUCCCUCCCUUUCCCACCAGAAUCCCCUUUCUGCAGGUCUACAGGGAGCCUGUCUCAUGGUGAGU